rnacentral:rRNA from 1 species
AGCGGCGGAUGGGUGAGUAACACGUGGGGAACCUGCCCCUAAGUCUGGGAUACCAUUUGGAAACAGGUGCUAAUACCGGAUAAUAAAGCAGAUCGCAUGAUCAGCUUUUGAAAGGCGGCGUAAGCUGUCGCUAAGGGAUGGCCCCGCGGUGCAUUAGCUAGUUGGUAAGGUAACGGCUUACCAAGGCGACGAUGCAUAGCCGAGUUGAGAGACUGAUCGGCCACAUUGGGACUGAGACACGGCCCAAACUCCUACGGGAGGCAGCAGUAGGGAAUCUUCCACAAUGGACGCAAGUCUGAUGGAGCAACGCCGCGUGAGUGAAGAAGGUUUUCGGAUCGUAAAGCUCUGUUGUUGGUGAAGAAGGAUAGAGGUAGUAACUGGCCUUUAUUUGACGGUAAUCAACCAGAAAGUCACGGCUAACUACGUGCCAGCAGCCGCGGUAAUACGUAGGUGGCAAGCGUUGUCCGGAUUUAUUGGGCGUAAAGCGAGCGCAGGCGGAAAAAUAAGUCUAAUGUGAAAGCCCUCGGCUUAACCGAGGAACUGCAUCGGAAACUGUUUUUCUUGAGUGCAGAAGAGGAGAGUGGAACUCCAUGUGUAGCGGUGGAAUGCGUAGAUAUAUGGAAGAACACCAGUGGCGAAGGCGGCUCUCUGGUCUGCAACUGACGCUGAGGCUCGAAAGCAUGGGUAGCGAACAGGAUUAGAUACCCUGGUGGUCCAUGCCGUAAACGAUGAGUGCUAAGUGU